rnacentral:misc_RNA from 1 species
CAGCCUGUCAAUAUGCUCUCCAUCUGAAACAUUGAAUUGUGCAUCUAAAUCGGCCUGUCCCUCAAUAAUUUCAAUAAGUUCUUUCAUCCGUUCUGGAGGAGCUUUGUCUCCAAAUAUGCUCAAACUUCUUAAGAAGUCCAUAAACAUUCUGAAUUCUGCUGCAGUUACAUCUUCUAAGCCCUUUUUAAUCAAAUCAGUUAUAUGCCGUUCCAUUUCCUCUUGCGGCCUUAAAAGUUCAGCCUUGAGAGGGAAAACCUUGUCUUUAAUAAAGCCUAAAACUUUCUCACGGACAUCUUCUGGACCUUGUUCAUCAGUAGUCCCAAUGUGCUUAAAUAAGGCAGUUAAAGAGGCUUUUACAUCCUGCCUCAGCAAAGACAUAAGGGCCUUAUGCACAGCAUCCCGCUCCACAAUUUCCUCAGCUACAAGGAGCUGCACAAGAAUAUCGAUGAUUUUGGAAAGAUACUCUGGUGUAUCCUU